rfam:Drosophila ficusphila Contig6234, whole genome shotgun sequence
UGGAGGUGUUUAGUCCGUAGGCGUAAUUUAAUUACGAAUCGGGCAUAUUUAAAGCGACGGCGCUUUAAAUAUCUUUUGAAGAUUCACCUUCCA